GCUGUAGCUUAGUGGCAGAGUGCUUGCCUAGUAUGUGUGAAGCACUAGGUUCAAACCUUAGCACCGCA
rnacentral:tRNA from 1 species